rnacentral:rRNA from 1 species
GAUGAACGCUGGCGGCGUGCCUAAUACAUGCAAGUCGAGCGAACGGACGAGAAGCUUGCUUCUCUGAUGUUAGCGGCGGACGGGUGAGUAACACGUGGAUAACCUACCUAUAAGACUGGGAUAACUUCGGGAAACCGUAGCUAAUACCGGAUAAUAUUUUGAACCGCAUGGUUCAAAAGUGAAAGACGGUCUUGCUGUCACUUAUAGAUGGAUCCGCGCUGCAUUAGCUAGUUGGUAAGGUAACGGCUUACCAAGGCAACGAUGCAUAGCCGACCUCAGAGGGUGAUCGGCCACACUGGAACUGAGACACGGUCCAGACUCCUACGGGAGGCAGCAGUAGGGAAUCUUCCGCAAUGGGCGAAAGCCUGACGGAGCAACGCCGCGUGAGUGAUGAAGGUCUUCGGAUCGUAAAACUCUGUUAUUAGGGAAGAACAUAUGUGUAAGUAACUGUGCACAUCUUGACGGUACCUAAUCAGAAAGCCACGGCUAACUACGUG